CCUACGGGAGGCAGCAGUGGGGAAUAUUGGGCAAUGGGCGCAAGCCUGACCCAGCAACGCCGCGUGAAGGAAGAAGGCUUUCGGGUUGUAAACUUCUUUUAGCAGGGAAGAGUAGAAGACGGUACCUGACGAAUAAGCCACGGCUAACUACGUCCCAGCCGCCGCGGUAAUACGUAGGUGGCAAGCGUUGUCCGGAUUUACUGGGUGUAAAGGGCGUGUAGCCGGGUUGACAAGUCAGAUGUGAAAUCCUGCGGCUUAACCGCAGAACUGCAUUUGAAACUGUUGAUCUUGAGUACUGGAGAGGCAGGCGGAAUUCCUAGUGUAGCGGUGAAAUGCGUAGAUAUUAGGAGGAAAACCAGUGGCGAAGGCGGUCUGCUGGACAGCAACUGACGGUGAGGCGCGAAAGCGUGGGGAGCAAACAGGAUUAGAUACCCGAGUAGUC
rnacentral:rRNA from 1 species